rnacentral:rRNA from 1 species
AGUGGCGAAAGGGGCAGUAAUGUAUAGGUAACCUACCCUGGGGAUGGGGAUAGCCGUUCUAACGGACGGGUAAUACCCAGCGAUUUGGCGAGGUCGCAUGGCUUUGCCAAGAAAUGAGUUUCGCCUCGGGAGGGGCUUAUAUCGUAUUAGCUAGUUGGUGAGGUAACGGCUCACCAAGGCCGAGAUGCGUAGCGGGUGUGAGAGCACGACCCGCGCCACUGGCACUGAGACACUGGCCAGACACCUACGGGUGGCUGCAGUCGAGGAUCUUCGGCAAUGAGCGCAAGCUUGACCGAGCGACGCCGCGUGGAUGAUGAAGGCCUUCGGGUUGUAAAAUCCUGUCGAGGGGGAUCAAGGGUAACUUGAGUGAUCCCUGGAGGAAGGGCGGGCUAAGUUCGUGCCAGCAGCCGCGGUAAGACGAACUGCCCAAACGUUGUUCGGAAUCACUGGGCUUAAAGGGCGCGUAGGCGGCGAUUCAAGUCAGGGGUGAAAUCCGGCAGCUCAACUGUCGAAGUGCCUUUGAUACUGAGUCGCUCGAGGGAGGUAGGGGUCUGUGGAACUUCUGGUGGAGCGGUGAAAUGCGUUGAUAUCAGAAGGAACGCCGGUGGCGAAAGCGACGGACUGGACCUUUUCUGACGCUGAGGCGCGAAAGCUAGGGGAGCAAACGGGAUUAGAUACCCCGGUAGUCCUAGCCCUAAACGAUGAGUACUAGA